GAAGCAGAAGAGAUGUGCAAAGUCAUUCGUGAUAACCUCAAAGCAGCCCAGUCCCGCCAGAAGAGCUACUAUGAUAGUAAGCACCGUGAUCUGGUUUUCGAGAUCGGAGACCAUGUUUACCUCCGCGUCUCUCCCAUGAAAGGUACUCGUCGCUUCGGUAUCAAAGGGAAGCUUGCCCCUAGAUACGUGGGACCUUUCAAGAUUGUCAGCAAGAGAGGCGACCUCGCCUAUCAACUCGAGCUUCCUUCAAACUUUGCAAAUGUUCAUGAUGUGUUCCAUGUCUCUCAGCUUCGAAAGUGCUUCAAGACUCCUGACCGCACUGUCAACUUCGAGGACAUUGAGCUCCAAGAAGAUCUCUCCUAUCGUGAGCACCCAGUUGCUAUUCUCGAAGAGACUGAACGCAAGACUCGCAACAAGUCAAUCAAAUUUCUCAAAGUC
rnacentral:rRNA from 1 species